GAUGAACGCUGGCGGCGUGCCUAAUACAUUCAAGUCGAGCGAACAGACGAGGAGCUUGCUCCUCUGACGUUAGCGGCGGACGGGUGAGUAACACGUGGAUAACCUACCUAUAAGACUGGGAUAACUUCGGGAAACCGGAGCUAAUACCGGAUAAUAUAUUGAACCGCAUGGUUCAAUAGUGAAAGACGGUUUUGCUGUCACUUAUAGAUGGAUCCGCGCCGCAUUAGCUAGUUGGUAAGGUAACGGCUUACCAAGGCAACGAUGCGUAGCCGACCUGAGAGGGUGAUCGGCCACACUGGAACUGAGACACGGUCCAGACUCCUACGGGAGGCAGCAGUAGGGAAUCUUCCGCAAUGGGCGAAAGCCUGACGGAGCAACGCCGCGUGAGUGAUGAAGGUCUUCGGAUCGUAAAACUCUGUUAUUAGGGAAGAACAAAUGUGUAAGUAACUAUGCACGUCUUGACGGUACCUAAUCAGAAGGCCACGGCUAACUACGUG
rnacentral:rRNA from 1 species